rnacentral:tRNA from 1 species
AGGUUUGAGGUGUAACUUCCGACCUGAUUGUGGUUUCCUAAACCAUGUGCCGGAGGUUCGAGUCCUCUCGGGCGCACCA